UACGUAGGUGGCAAGCGUUGUCCGGAAUUAUUGGGCGUAAAGUGCGCGCAGGCGGUCCUUUAAGUCUGAUGUGAAAGCCCACGGCUCAACCGUGGAGGGUCAUUGGAAACUGGGGAACUUGAGUGCAGAAGAGAAAAGCGGAAUUCCACGUGUAGCGGUGAAAUGCGUAGAGAUGUGGAGGAACACCAGUGGCGAAGGCGGCUUUUUGGUCUGUAACUGACGCUGAGGCGCGAAAGCGUGGGGAGCAAACAGG
rnacentral:rRNA from 1 species